rnacentral:rRNA from 1 species
GAUGAACGCUGGCGGCGUGCCUAAUACAUGCGAGUCGAACGCUGGAGAUCUAGCUUGCUAGAUCGAAGGAGUGGCGAACGGGUGAGUAAUACAUAAGCAACCUACCCACGAAGACUGGGAUAAUCUCUGGAAACGGGGACUAAUACCGGAUAGGUAAUCGGAAGGCAUCUUCUGGUUAUUAAAGGUUAAAAACACUGGUGGAUGGGCUUAUGGCGCAUUAGUUAGUUGGUGAGGUAACGGCCCACCAAGACGAUGAUGCGUAGCCGGCCUGAGAGGGUGAACGGCCACAUUGGGACUGAGACACGGCCCAGACUCCUACGGGAGGCAGCAGUAGGGAAUUUUCGGCAAUGGGGGCAACCCUGACCGAGCAACGCCGCGUGAGUGAAGACGGCCUUCGGGUUGUAAAGCUCUGUUGUAAGGGAAGAACGGUAGAUAGAGAAUAUCUAAGUGACGGUACCUUACCAGAAAGCCACGGCUAACUACGUG